CCCUUAGAUGUUCUGGGCCGCACGCGUGCUACACUGACGAAUGCAACGAACUUAUAACCUUGGCCGAAAGGUCUGGGUAAUCUCCAAAUUUCGUCGUGAUGGGGAUAGAUUAUUGCAAUUAUUAAUCUUCAACGAGGAAUGCCUAGUAAGCGCAAGUCAUCAGCUUGCGUUGAUUACGUCCCUGCCCUUUGUACACACCGCCCGUCGCUCCUACCGAUUGAAUGGUCCGGUGAAGCGUUCGGACCGUGGCCUUUGGACGGUUCGCCGUCUGUUGGCUGCGGGAAGUUCGUUAAACCUUAUCAUUUAGAGGAAGGAGAAGUCGUAACA
rnacentral:rRNA from 1 species